rnacentral:rRNA from 1 species
GACGAACGCUGGCGGCGUGCUUAACACAUGCAAGUCGAACGGAAAGGCCCUGCUUUUGUGGGGUGCUCGAGUGGCGAACGGGUGAGUAACACGUGAGUAACCUGCCCUUGACUUUGGGAUAACUUCAGGAAACUGGGGCUAAUACCGGAUAGGAGCUCCUGCUGCAUGGUGGGGGUUGGAAAGUUUCGGCGGUUGGGUGUGGACUCGCGGAUUAUCAGCUUGUUGGUGGGGUAGUGGCUUACCAAGGCUUUGACGGGUAGCCGGCCUGAGAGGGUGACCGGCCACAUUGGGACUGAGAUACGGCCCAGACUCCUACGGGAGGCAGCAGUGGGGAAUAUUGCACAAUGGGCGGAAGCCUGAUGCAGCAACGCCGCGUGCGGGAUGACGGCCUUCGGGUUGUAAACCGCUUUCGCCUGUGACGAAGCGUGAGUGACGGUAAUGGGUAAAGAAGCACCGGCUAACUACGUG